rnacentral:rRNA from 1 species
AGCAGCCGCGGUAAUUCCAGCUCCAAUAGCGUAUAUUAAAGUUGCUGCAGUUAAAAAAGCUCGUAGUUGAAUUUCGGGACCAUCAUGUCGGUCGUGCCUCGGUACGUACUGGCAUUGCUGGUUUCUACCUUCUGAAGAACCUUGAUGUCAUUAAUUUGGUGUCUUGGGGGAAUCAGGACUGUUACUUUGAAAAAAUUAGAGUGUUUAAAGCAAGCAUACGCUUGAAUACAUUAGCAUGGAAUAAUGAAAUAGGACGUUUGAUUCUAUUUUGUUGGUUUCUAGGAUCGACGUAAUGAUUAAUAGGGAUAGUUGGGGGCAUUAGUAUUCAAUUGUCAGAGGUGAAAUUCUUGGAUUUAUUGAAGACUAACUACUGCGAAAGCAUUUGCCAAGGAUGUUUUCAUUAAUCAAGAACGAAAGUUAGGGGAUCGAAGACGAUCAGAUACCGUCGUAGUCUUAACCAU